UGGGGAAUUUUGGACAAUGGGCGCAAGCCUGAUCCAGCCAUGCCGCGUGCGGGAAGAAGGCCUUCGGGUUGUAAACCGCUUUUGUCAGGGAAGAAAUCUUCUGAGUUAAUACCUCGGGAGGAUGACGGUACCUGAAGAAUAAGCACCGGCUAACUACGUGCCAGCAGCCGCGGUAAUACGUAGGGUGCAAGCGUUAAUCGGAAUUACUGGGCGUAAAGCGUGCGCAGGCGGUUUUGUAAGACAGAGGUGAAAUCCCCGGGCUCAACCUGGGAACUGCCUUUGUGACUGCAAGGCUUGAGUGCGGCAGAGGGGGAUGGAAUUCCGCGUGUAGCAGUGAAAUGCGUAGAUAUGCGGAGGAACACCGAUGGCGAAGGCAAUCCCCUGGGCCUGCACUGACGCUCAUGCACGAAAGCGUGGGGAGCAAACAGGAUUAGAUACCCUGGUAGUCCACGCCCUAAACGAUGUCAACUGGUUGUUGGGAAGGUUCCUUCUCAGUAACGUAGCUAACGCGUGAAGUUGACCGCCUGGGGAGUACGGCCGCAAGGUUGAAACU
rnacentral:rRNA from 1 species